rnacentral:misc_RNA from 1 species
GCCAUUUGACUGGCAAACGUCCAAAUCCAAGCCAUUAAGAAACCCUAAUGGUUGAGAUUUCAUGACACUCAAACAGGCAUGCUCUCCGGAAUACCAGAGAGCGCAAGUUGCGUUCAAAGAUUCGAUGAUUCACUGAAUUCUGCAAUUCACAUUACUUAUCGCAUUUCGCUGCGUUCUUCAUCGAUGCUCGUCUGACCAG